CCUACUGUUGCUUCGGCGGGAUUGCCCCGGGCGCCUCGUGUGCCCCGGAUCAGGCGCCCGCCUAGGAAACUUAAUUCUUGUUUUAUUUUGGAAUCUUCUGAGUAGUUUUUACAAAUAAAUAAAAACUUUCAACAACGGAUCUCUUGGUUCUGGCAUCGAUGAAGAACGCAGCGAAAUGCGAUAAGUAAUGUGAAUUGCAGAAUUCAGUGAAUCAUCGAAUCUUUGAACGCACAUUGCGCCCGCCAGUAUUCUGGCGGGCAUGCCUGUCUGAGCGUCAUUUCAACCCUCAUGCCCCUAGGGCGUGGUGUUGGGGAUCGGCCAAAGCCCGCGAGGGACGGCCGGCCCCUAAAUCUAGUGGCGGACCCGUCGUGGCCUCCUCUGCGAAGUAGUGAUAUUCCGCAUCGGAGAGCGACGAGCCCCUGCCGUUAAACCCCCAACUUUCCAAGGUUGACCUCAGAUCAGGUAGGAAUACCCGCUGAACUUAAGCAUAUCAAUAAGCGGAGGAA
rnacentral:rRNA from 1 species